UGUCAUCCAGCCCAGCAUCUAGCAGUCAAAGGCCUUGAACACCCAAAGCAUGGGGUUGCAUCUCUGACCAUCUUGGCUAAUAGCCAUUGAUGGACCUAUCUUCCAUUAAUUUAUC